rnacentral:rRNA from 1 species
GAUGAACGCUGGCGGCGUGCCUAAUACAUGCAAGUCGAACGAACGUACUUGAUCCUCGCUUCCUUGCUGUUACCGACGAAGGGUUGAGUAACACGUGGAUAACUAACCUGUAAGCAUGGUAUAACUUCGGGAAAGCGUACACAUUACCACAGAUGAUUUUACACCAUAACGAUAAUUACUGCAAGGCGGUUAUGUAGUCACUUGCUAUUGUAUCCGCGAUGCAUUAGCUAGUUGGUAAGGUAAAGGCUUACCAAGGCAACGAUGCCUAGCCGACUUGAGAGGGUGAUCGGCCACACUGGAACUGAGACACGGUCCAGACUCCUACGGGAGGCAGCAGUAGGGAAUCUUCCGCAAUGGGCGAAAGCCUGAUGGAGCAACGCCGCGUGAGUGAAGAAGGUCUUCGGAUCGUAAAACUCUGUUAUUAGGGAAGAACAUAUGUGUAAGUAACUGUGCACAUCUUGACGGUACCUAAUCAGAAAGCCACGGCUAACUACGUG